rnacentral:rRNA from 1 species
AUUGAACGCUGGCGGCAUGCUUUACACAUGCAAGUCGAACGGUAACAGGGUGCUUGCACCGCUGACGAGUGGCGAACGGGUGAGUAAUGCGUCGGAACGUGCCGAGUAGUGGGGGAUAACGCAGCGAAAGUUGUGCUAAUACCGCAUACGUACUGAGGUAGAAAGUGGGGGACCUUCGGGCCUCACGCUAUUCGAGCGGCCGACGUCUGAUUAGCUAGUAGGUGAGGUAAAGGCUCACCUAGGCGCCGAUGAGUAGCGGGUCUGAGAGGAUGAUCCGCCACACUGGGACUGAGACACGGCCCAGACGCCUACGGGAGGCAGCAGUGGGGAAUUUUGGACAAUGGGCGAAAGCCUGAUCGAGCCAUGCCGCGUGGCGGAAGAAGGCCUCCGGGUUGUAAAGGACUUUUGUCGGGGAGGAAAUCCCCAGCGUUAAUACCGCUGGGGGAUGACAGUACCUGAAGAAUAAGCACCGGCUAACUACGUGCCAGCCGCCGCGGUAAAAC